rnacentral:misc_RNA from 1 species
GAUGAAGAACGGAGCGAAAUGCGAUAAGUAAUGUGAAUUGCAGAAUUCAGUGAAUCAUCGAAUCUUUGAACGCACAUUGCGCCCAUUAGUAUUCUGGCGGGCAUGCCUGUUCGAGCGUCAUUUCAACCCUCAGGCCCCCAGUACCUGGCGUUGGGGAUCGGCGUGGGCGGCGACGGCUCUCCGGAGCCCGAGCCAAUGCCUGCCGGCCCCGAAAUUCAGUGGCGGUCUCGCUGUAGUCCCCCUCUGUGUAGUAGCACAACUCGCAUUGGAGCUCGGCGGUGGCCAUGCCGUAAAACACCCCACUUCUGAAAGUUGACCUCGGAUCAGGUAGGAAUACCCGCUGAACUUAAGCAUAUCAAUAAGCGGAGGA